UAACAUAGACUCUACAAUUACAAGGCUACAUCUAUUAGGAUUAACAUAAUUUGUUAGAGAGGUUGAUUAAUUGUGACAGAAAUUAGUUACACUUAAUCAAUGAGUUACACCUAGUUAGUGAGAUUCAGAAAUUAGUUACACCUAACAAUCAGUGAGAUUCCUAGUUAGUGUAUUUAGAAAUUAGUUACACCUAACAAUCAGUGAGAUUCCUAAUUAGUGUAUUCACAAGCCUCUAUAUAUAUGGCUUUCUAUUCAUUUGUUAACAUCCACGAUCCAGUGAGGAAAGAUCGCUAGACUAAAUGCUUGCAACCAAACUACAUCUUAGCCCUUUCUCAUCUUUAGUAGCUUCUUCAUUAUUAUCAGUCACUUGAAAUUUACCAUCAUCCCAAUGUAAACCAAAGAAGCUGAAGCAACAUAUUCUCUUAUUGCUCCAUAUCAAUAGUGAGCACAAAUGUUUUCUUUUGGCCAAGAGAAUUGAAUGACAAAACAUUUGGCUUCACUUUGAUUUUAAGUCCUUGAGGAGCAGUCACAACUCACAAUAGCUUUAUAUGUGGACAUCGGGGAUCAAACAUUUGUGACAGUCCUCUUGAAACUAUCAAAUACAUUGGAAUCUGAGUGUGAGGCUUGGAGAGCAAAUGAAGGGUAGUUUAGAUCCCUUGCUAUUAUCCCCUGUUAUGAGUUGUAGAAGCAUUGAAUUAUAGCCCUAACCGCAUAAAAAUCUUAUGUAGUCAAUUUCAUUCCAGUAGCAUCAUACACUAAACCAGGUUCACGGCAUUGGAAGCAUUAAUUUGGCAUGCUCCAUAUGCAAAAUCUGCAUCAGCUCUUUUUUUGGCUUGUCAAAAUUUUUCUAGAGUGAAGCUAAGCACAUCCUAGUAAUCAUUACUACAUCAGCACAUUCUUGAAUACAUGGAAGCUUGUGGAUGUGUGAUUCCUUGGAGGGACAAAGCGUUAGAAACUUGCAGGCUCAAUUAUGACAGGUGAGAGUAGGUCCAAAAAGGUUGAGGCUGCAUACCGGAAAGAUUUUAAAUUUUUUAGGAUCACUAACCUGUGAAGAUUGCCAGAAACGCGAAUUCUUCAAGGACGAAUAUGGAGCAGGCCUAAUUGAUCCUUCCAAGGUUCUGAAACCGGCUUUAGUGUAUGAUGCUAGUGAAAGGGACCACAUAGGAUUUUCAUAUGGACAGGGCUAUAGUUCAAAGCUUCUACAACUCAUCACAGGGAAUAAUGGCAAUGGAUCUAAACUAUCCUUCAUUUACUCUUCAAGCCUCACCCUCAGACCCCAAUGUAUUUGGCGGUUUCAAGAGGAUUGUCACAAAUGUUGGAUCCCAAUGUCGGCAUAUAAAGCUAUUGUGACUACUCGUAAAGGGCUUAAAAUCAAAGUGAAGCCAAAUGUUUUUUCAUUCAAUUCUCUUGGCCAAAAGAAAACAUUUGUGCUCACUAUUGAUAUGGAGCAAUAAUAGAAUCUGUUGCUUCAGCUUCUUUGGUUUGGUUUGGGAUGAUGGUAAAUUUCCAGUUAGGAGCCCCAUUUUUGUGUUUAAUGUACGAGUACCGUGAUACAUUGAAUAAGGAGUUUUGCUGGUUUAUGUUGGUCCUACUGGAAGUUGUCAUUUCAUAAUUGGAACCACGAAGGCUCAAUGCAUAUUGAUGUGAUUGGAUGUCUUCGUAAAACUCUUUACACCGUUAGUGAAUAUAAAUCAAAUCCUUUAUAAUAUAUUAAUUUUGAAGUCUGAA